rnacentral:rRNA from 1 species
UGGGGAAUAUUGCACAAUGGGGGAAACCCUGAUGCAGCGACGCCGCGUGAACGAAGAAGGUAUUCGUAUCGUAAAGUUCUGUCCUAUGGGAAGAUAAUGACAGUACCAUAGAAGAAAGCUCCGGCUAAAUACGUGCCAGCAGCCGCGGUACUACGUAUGGAGCGAGCGUUGUCCGGAAUUAUUGGGCGUAAAGGGUACGCAGGCGGUUUAAUAAGUAGAAUGUUAAAGAUCGGGGCUCAACCCCGUAAAGCAUUGGAAACUGAUAAACUUGAGUAGUGGAGAGGAAAGUGGAAGUCCUAGUGUAGUGGUGAAAUACGUAGAUAUUAGGAGGAAUAACAGUAGCGAAGGCGACUUUCUGGACACAAACUGACGCUGAGGUACGAAAGCGUGGGGAGCAAACAGG